rnacentral:rRNA from 1 species
AGGCGUGCGAUACAGGGUGACAGCCCCGUACACAAAAAUGCACAUACUGUGAGCUCGAUGAGUAGGGCGGGACACGUGGUAUCCUGUCUGAAUAUGGGGGGACCAUCCUCCAAGGCUAAAUACUCCUGACUGACCGAUAGUGAACCAGUACCGUGAGGGAAAGGCGAAAAGAACCCCGGCGAGGGGAGUGAAAAAGAACCUGAAACCGUGUACGUACAAGCAGUGGGAGCACGCUUAGGCGUGUGACUGCGUACCUUUUGUAUAAUGGGUCAGCGACUUAUAUUCUGUAGCAAGGUUAACCGAAUAGGGGAGCCGAAGGGAAACCGAGUCUUAACUGGGCGUUAAGUUGCAGGGUAUAGACCCGAAACCCGGUGAUCUAGCCAUGGGCAGGUUGAAGGUUGGGUAACACUAACUGGAGGACCGAACCGACUAAUGUUGAAAAAUUAGCGGAUGACUUGUGGCUGGGGGUGAAAGGCCAAUCAAACCGGGAGAUAGCUGGUUCUCCCCGAAAGCUAUUUAGGUAGCGCCUCGUGAAUUCAUCUCCGGGGGUAGAGCACUGUUUCGGCAAGGGGGUCAUCCCGACUUACCAACCCGAUGCAAACUGCGAAUACCGGAGAAUGUUAUCACGGGAGACACACGGCGGGUGCUAACGUCCGUCGUGAAGAGGGAAACAACCCAGACCGCCAGCUAAGGUCCCAAAGUCAUGGUUAAGUGGGAAACGAUGUGGGAAGGCCCAGACAGCCAGGAUGUUGGCUUAGAAGCAGCCAUCAUUUAAAGAAAGCGUAAUAGCUCACUGGUCGAGUCGGCCUGCGCGGAAGAUGUAACGGGGCUAAACCAUGCACCGAAGCUGCGGCAGCGACGCUUAUGCGUUGUUGGGUAGGGGAGCGUUCUGUAAGCCUGUGAAGGUGUACUGUGAGGUAUGCUGGAGG